AGCAGUCGCCGCGGGAAUACGUAGGUGGCAAGCGUUGUCCGGAAUUAUUGGGCGUAAAGCGCGCGCAGGCGGCCUAUCCAGUCUGUCUUAAAAGUUCGGGGCUCAACCCCGUGAUGGGAUGGAAACUAGUAGGCUAGAGUAUCGGAGAGGAAAGCGGAAUUCCAGUGUAGCGGUGAAAUGCGUAGAUAUUGGGAGGAACACCAGUGGCGAAGGCGGCUUUCUGGACUGCAACUGACGCUGAGGCUCGAAAGCCAGGGGAGCGAACGGGAUUAGAUACCCGCGUAGUCCCUGUCUCUUAUACAC
rnacentral:rRNA from 1 species